rnacentral:rRNA from 1 species
GUGCCAGCAGCCGCGGUAACACGUAGGGACCAAGCGUUGUCCGGAUUUAUUGGGCGUAAAGAGCUCGUAGGCGGUUCGGUAAGUCGGGUGUGAAAACUCUGGGCUCAACUCGGAGAGGCCACCCGAUACUGCCGUGACUUGAGUCCGGUAGGGGAGCACGGAAUUCCUGGUGUAGCGGUGAAAUGCGCAGAUAUCAGGAGGAACACCGGUGGCGAAGGCGGUGCUCUGGGCCGGUACUGACGCUGAGGAGCGAAAGCGUGGGUAGCAAACAGGAUUAGAUACCCUGGUAGUCCACGCCGUAAACGUUGGGCACUAGGUGUGGGACCCCGCCAACGGGUUCUGUGCCGCAGCUAACGCAUUAAGUGCCCCGCCUGGGGAGUACGGCCGCAAGGUUAAA